AUUGAACGCUGGCGGCAGGCCUAACACAUGCAAGUCGAACGAGUGGCGGACGGGUGAGUAAUGUCUGGGAAACUGCCCGAUGGAGGGGGAUAACUACUGGAAACGGUAGCUAAUACCGCAUACCAUCGGAUGUGCCCAGAUGGGAUUAGCUAGUAGGUGGGGUAAAGGCUCACCUAGGAGACGAUCCCUAGCUGGUCUGAGAGGAUGACCAGCCACACGGGAACGGGCGCACGGUCCAGACCCCUACGGUAGGAAGCAGUGGGGAAUAUGGCACAAUGGGCGCAAGCCUGAUGCAGCCAUGCCGCGUGUAUGAAGAAGGCCUUCGGUUUGUAAAGUACUUUCAGCGAGGAGUCGUUACCCGCAGAAGAAGCAACGGCUAACUCCGUGCCAGCAGCCGCGGUAAUUC
rnacentral:rRNA from 1 species